rnacentral:rRNA from 1 species
GACUAACGCUGGCGGCGCGCUUAACACAUGCAAGUCGAACGGAAAGGCCCUGCUUUUGUCGGGUGCUCGAGUGGCGAACGGGUGAGUAACACGUGAGUAACCUGCCCUUGACUUUGGGAUAACUUCAGGAAACUGGGGCUAAUCACGGCUAGGAGCUCCUGAUGCAUGGUGGGGGUUGGAACGUUUCGGCGGUUGGGGAUGGACUCGCGGCUUAUCAGCUUGUUGGUGGGGUAGUGGCUUACCAAGGCUUUGACGGGUAGCCGGCCUGAGAGGGUGACCGGCCACAUUGGGACUGAGAUACGGCCCAGACUCCUACGGGAGGCAGCAGUGGGGAAUAUUGCACAAUGGGCGGAAGCCUGAUGCAGCAACGCCGCGUGCGGGAUGACGGCCUUCGGGUUGUAAACCGCUUUCGCCUGUGACGAAGCGUGAGUGACGGUAAUGGGUAAAGAAGCACCGGCUAACUACGUG